UAUCUCUCCGUACGGGGAAGGAUGAGAAGCUUCGACUAAGGUUCGAUUCGAGCGCAGCGAGAAAGCGUUGCCGCAGGCAACGACCCGAAGGGUGAGGAGCGGAGCGACGAAUAAUCCUUCCCCCACCAUCA
rnacentral:sRNA from 17 species